rnacentral:tRNA from 1 species
UCCUCGGUAGUGUAAUGGAUCAACACGGCAGAUGAAUCUGUAAAUGCGGGUUCGAGUACCGCCUGAAGUU